CAAUUCCCAGACCUGACCGGAGCCGCCGUAGAAAUAUUACUAUUACCAUCCUCCUCUUGGUGAUCGCCCUGUCGCAUAUGGCUUCUGGAUUCAGGGCCUGUACAGGGUGAUUACCAAAGGGAUGACGGUAAUAUUUAAUUCAUGAUGUUGGCAAACUCGUCGGAGGGAAAUG